GCUGAUUGAAAUGGCUAGACAUGCCUAGGACAGAAUUGCAAGGAAGAUGAAGAAGCCGAGAAGAGCCACAAUCACGUGAGUUGAUUCAAUAUCACAGUCACAUGAGUUGAAAAUUCGAAUCACAAGCUAAAUACAUAUAUUUUGUGUCUUCUGCUUAUUUUGGAAAAUCAGAGGACCAAGCUUAAAAUAAACUCUCAAAUCAAAAACGACUAACGAAGAAAUCAGAAAAGUGUGAACCAAGAAAACUAGCCUUCAAAGCAUCUGGAAACCAACCUCCAAACAUUUACACACAGAAAAGAAAUCGAUUACGACCAGAAUAAGCAGACGAACACACAAUUACAUGUUUGAUGGAUUCUCAGAUUAGAAGAUGUUGAGUUGUCCCACAUCGGAAGUAUUUGAGGUCCUUGGUGUCCUUAUAUGGCUUGGGCAAUCCUCACCUAAUACGCUAGCUUUUGAGGUUGAAUUAGGCCCAAAGUUCAUUCUUAUCAUGGUAUCAGAGCCAGACCCAUCCCAAUUAUUGUUAGCGAUGUUGGGCCCCCAUUUAUGUUGUCCACGCUCCAGAGAUCUGGGCGUGGGGUGUUGAGUUGUCCCACAUCGGAGGGAUUUGAGGUCCUUGGUCUCCUUAUAUGGCUUGGGCAAUCCUCACCACAUAAGCUAGCUUUUGGGGGAGAUCUGGGCGUGAGGGGGUGUUGAAUUGUGUCACAUUGGAGGGAUUUGAGGUCCUUGGUAUCCUUAUAUGGCUUGGGCAAUCCUCACUUCAUAAGCUAGCUUUUGGGGUUGAGUUAGGCCCAAGGUUCAUUCUUAUCAGAGGACCGUAUGAACAUUCAUUAACACACAUCUGAAGUCAUAGAAAGAAGCAAAAAACCUCAGUUAUUACUUCAAAUUUCAGCCCACUUUAUAGAUCAUUUAGAGAUCGAUUUACAACAGGAACUAACGAGUAAAGAGAAAUGAACCUGGAAUUAAGAGCAUGAACUAACACCACCACGAACUAAUCAAAGAAAGCGAACAGCAGCAGAACAUCAACUUUUGAGCAACCGCAGCCUCAAAUUUAUCAAGUAACUUCCAUUUUUAAACCAAAGUCCAGAAUUAUAAUGAAAAAAGAUGAACUCUAGAUGUUUUGAAAAAACUUUAAACACUAGUCGACAUAAACAAAACAUUAGCACCCUCAAUGAUUAUUGUGUUGUUCUAUUAUCGGUCAUCAAAGAAACAAUAAAACUGAAGAAGGAAAAGAAAGCAUCUCUCAAAAUUCUUUCCAGAAAAAAAUCUCUCCCAAAUUCUCUCCAAAUCUCCUUGAAAUCAGACCUCGAUAUAUAUAGCCCUUCUCUCGAAUUUUUCUUUUUGCACAAGAAAUUUGGAAGGAAAUAUCGUCUAGAACGAACCUCGACAGAUGGAAGGAGAGGAUUGAUCCGUAAAUCCAUCCACGGCUUCCAUUUUCGGAGUUCAUUCUUCAGAAAUUCCAAAACGAAAUCGGCGCAUGAGAGACACAAAAAAAUAUCAGAAACCGUUAAAAUUUGCUGAGGUGGUAAGAUAAGGUGCGCGUAAGUAAACUCGAUCUCAAUCACCCGAAAUUUGGCGAGUGGAUGUGGGUGAGAUGAAGAAGAAGAAGAAGAUGAACAGCGACACCCGUUUUUUUUUGGGUUUUU
rnacentral:lncRNA from 1 species